rnacentral:misc_RNA from 1 species
UCACAGCUUGAACUACAUUUUUGUGAAAAAAAGUAGUCAAUAGUGAAAUAUUGAAACUUGAAAAACUGUGAACAAAUAUACCAAAAUUAAAAAUAACAAGAGUAACUACUUCAUUGCAUGCUCUGAAUGUUCUGCUUCCAAAGACCACGAUAAAGCAUGUAAAAUUGUAAAUGUAUUUUGUUUGUUAUUUCAUUGUUUUGUAAUACUAAAGCUUUAUUUUUUUCUCAAAAGACAUUUGAUUAUUUCAAUUAAAAUUUUUACAUUUGUUUUAAUAUGUUAACCAUACUGUAUUGUAUACAAGUGUAUACAUUUACUGAAUUUGUUUACAUUAUAUAUAUAUCUUCUCUCUCUCUCUCUCUUUCUCUCUUAGUUAUUUUUAAAUUAGUUUGAAAAUUAUUUAGAUAAUUAUUUACGGAAUAUUUUGUUUUCUUUUAGGCUAUGAUUUAGCUAUUUUGUUUGUUUAGUUUUCUCUUUUUUAGCCCUAUUAUAAAACAUUCUAUUCUUAAACUAAAGUCUUUCUUUAAAAUGUCAUAACAUAUCUUGUGAGUACAUAUGUACAUUGUAUUUUACAGAACAUUUGUACAUGUAUUAAAUAAGUAAUAUGUAAAAC